AAAAAAUAGUUUUUUCCUCAGCUUUGUGAUAAAAAGGGGUCAAAAAAUUAGAUAGGAAAAAGUUAUAUCAAUGGCUUGAUCAACGUGGACAAAAUAAAUUAAUGGUUUGUAAAUGCUGAAAAAGUUUUAAAUUGUUCAAUAAUGGUUUGUAAAUGUUGAAAAUAGGAACUCCAGGAACUUUAUAAUCAAAGUUUUAUAGAGCAUACAAUUUCUAUGAUACACCACCAUCUCUCUCUCUCGCUCUCUCUCUUGCUCUCAAAACUCAGAAAUUCCAAACCAAAUUUCAUAGCUCUCAAUCUCGAUCAUGGAAAUUUCAAAGCUCUAGAUCUUGGCAAUUAUGGCAAUCACAUAGCUCUUCAUCUCUCUCGACGUGGUGGAUUCAACUCCUCUAGUUAGGAAAUCAUGUGAGAAAGAUGAGUUUACAGGAAUUUGUGAGAGAAUGGAGGCCAAAGGACCAUGCUUAAAUGUCUAAGGAGGUGCAGCUAGAGUGCUUGGAUCGUCUACCAUGAUUAGAAGUUUUAUAUAAGGAAAGAAUCAAAGAGGCAGAAUCUGAAAAGGAAAAAUCUGAUUUGAGCACUGAUCAGUAUUUUGGGCGUAUCUCUCUCCUCAAAAAUCCAAUUGACACAAGGCUAGAUGGGUUGGAAUCAUGACUUAAAUAUCUACAACUUUCCAGUUUUGAGUAUUCCAAAAUUCUCAAUUUUGGAAGGCCGAAAUUAACUUACAAUUUACCACUAUAAACUUGGACGGAAAUUAAAAUAGUAAAAGUUUUAUUUUCUUUGAACACUUAGACGUUAGGGUUUUGGAAAGAAGGCUGGGAGAACGAACUUGGAGAGAGUGAUAGGCCAAAAAAGAAUUGAUCCCU